GCACUGCUGAGGAGUCCCACAAUAGGAUGAAUCGGCCGUCCAGUGC
rfam:Schistosoma rodhaini strain Burundi genome assembly, scaffold: SROB_scaffold0004418